rnacentral:rRNA from 1 species
UACAGAGGGGGCAAGCGUUAUUCGGAAUUAUUGGGCGUAAAGGGCGCGUAGGCGGUUCUUCAAGUCUCUCGUGAAAUCCCUCGGCUUAACUGAGGACGUGCGGGAGAUACUGAAGGGCUUGAGUCCGGAAGAGGGUGGUGGAAUUCCCAGUGUAGCGGUGAAAUGCGUAGAUAUUAGGAAGAACACCAGUGGCGAAGGCGGCCAACUGGUCCGGUACUGACGCUGAGGUGCG